rnacentral:rRNA from 1 species
UACGGAAGGGGGCUAGCGUUGCUCGGAAUCACUGGGCGUAAAGCGCACGUAGGCGGAUCUUUAAGUCAGGGGUGAAAUCCUGGAGCUCAACUCCAGAACUGCCUCUGAUACUGGGGAUCUUGAGUCCGGAAGAGGUAAGUGGAACUGCGAGUGUAGAGGUGAAAUUCGUAGAUAUUCGCAAGAACACCAGUGGCGAAGGCGGCUUACUGGUCCGGUACUGACGCUGAGGUGCGAAAGCGUGGGGAGCAAACAGGG